rnacentral:tRNA from 1 species
GGGCCUGUAGCUCAGCUAGGUAGAGCAAUCGGCUCUUACCGCGAAACCCUGUUGGUGUCGCAGGAGAUACCGAUGGGUCAAGGGUUCGAAUCCCUUCAGGCCCG